rnacentral:sRNA from 1 species
UGCCUGGAUCGUCAUGGAAACCCGACUC